AGUGCUUGGAAGAGAAUCAUCCUUCGUGAAGCAUUCGAAGGAGGUGGUCAUCCUUUGUGAAGAUUCAAAGGAGGUGUAAGUUCAUCUCUUGUGGUUUCAAGAGAGGUGAUAUUUCUAAACUCUUACAAAUUGUUUUUCUCUGUGAUUAAUAUUUGUAAUUGUUUUGUGAUAGUGAAAAAGGUUUAUCUUGUUUGAGAUAAGCGACUGGACGUAGGAUCUGUGUGAUCUGAACCAGGAUAAAAUCACCUGUGCAAUUUGUCUCUUUCCCUUACUCUCUUAUUUAUAUUUAAUUAUCUGCUCAGUAAGAAAAAUUAAGAGAAAAAUAAUAAAAGGCACGAUAAAAGUAUAUAACCAAUUCACCCCCCCCUCCUCUUGGUUUGUUCCACGCUAAUAAUUCUGUUGCAGCGAUUCUAACAAUUGGUAUCAGAGCUCGUUGUGAUAGUCAUUCAAAUGGCAGAAUCAUAUCAAACUGUUGCAGAGAGUGCCUUUAUCAAUAGACCAUCGUUGUUCAUAGGUGAAAAUUAUGCAUUCUGGAAGGUUAAAAUGCAAAUAUUUAUUAGGUCUAUUGAUUGUGAGAUUGUGGAUGUUAUUGCAUUUGGUUUGUCUGUUCCUACUAACAAUUUGCAGGAACCAAAGCCUCGUAUUCAUUGGACUGCUAAAGAGAAGAAAAGAUUUCAAAAUGAUGUGAAAGCCCGAAACAUCAUUUCAUCUGCUUUAACCGUUGACGAGUUUUACAGGAUCUCAGUUUGUAAGACNGCUCAAGAGAUGUGGNAAGUGCUGAGAGUGACCCACGAAGGUACAGAUGACGUGAAGAGAGCGAGAAAGAAUACCCUAAUCCAAGAAUAUGAAAUGUUCAGGAUGAAGCAAGGAGAAACAAUAUCAGAUGUUCAAAAACGCUUCACCAAUAUCGUAAAUCACCUCAUUGGACUAGGUAAGUCUUUCGAGAAUGAUGAACUUAAUAUAAAAAUUUUGAAAUCUUCAGACAGGUCAUGGCAACCACAAGUGACUGCAAUUUCUGAGUCACAAAAUCUCAACACAAUGACUAUGGCGGCAUUAUUUGGAAAGUUGAGAGAGCAUGAACUUGACCUUGGAAGACUGGAUGAAGAAGAAGCAAUGGCAAAAACAAAGAAAAAGAGUCUAGCCUUAAAAUCUGAGGUAGAAAGGAGCAAAAGCAAAAUAGAAGAUGAAAACUCAGAAGAUGAAGAAAAUUUGAGACUCAUGAUAAAAAGGCUCAACAAGUUCAUGAAAUCAAAAGACAAAGGAAGAUUCAAAGUCGAAAAGAAAGAAAACCAAGAAUCCUCCUUAAAAUAUAGAUGUUAUGGUUGUGGAGAAAGGGGGCACUUAAAAGCGGACUGUCCAAAUCAAAAGAAGAAUGAAGAAAUAAAGGAAAAGAAAUCCUUCAAGAAAAAGAAGGCUUGCAUCGCAUGGGACGAUGACAAUGAAACAAUUUCUUAUUCGAGCGAAUCUGAUGAAGAGGCAAACAUCUGUUUAGUGGCAGACGAUGACGCUGGAAGCCAAGUAAGUACAUCUAGCAAUUAUGAUAAUUAUAGUCAAUUUAGUGAAAGUGAUUGCAUGAAACUUAUGUUGCUUUACUUGUUGAAUCUGAAAAAUUAGAUAAAGCCCAUAAGAAAUUGAAAAAGGAUUUCAAAAAUUUAAAAUUAAAUUUUGAAAAUAUUUCAGAAAAAAAUAAAAUUUAAAAUCAGAUUUUGAAAAUAUUUCUCAGGAAAAUAAAAGUUUAAAAUCAAAUUUUGAAACUAUACUUGAAGAGAAUAAAAAUUUGAAAAAUAAAAUUUUAUUUUAUGAAAAAGGUAAAUUUACUAGUAGUGAUGAAUGUGCAUCUUGCGAAAAUUUUAAGAAAAUGCUAGAACAAACAACCUUAGAAGAAUGCAGUAAAAUUAAUGAAAAUAAGGUUGUUAAAAAUAAGUAUGUUCCUAAAAUUAAAAAUAAACAUAAUAAUAAAACCUGUAGAACAUGGGUAGAAAAAGGAACAACUUAUAGGAACACAAACUUUAUAUCAUGUUUUUAUUGUAUGAAAAAAGGUCAUACCUCAAAUAAAUGUAAAAUUAAGCAUUUUGGUGUUCCAAGUAGUAGAUAUGUUUGGGUUGUAAAAUGAUUUCAUUUUUUUUAAACCAAAGGACAAUGUUUAUUUAUUUAUUUUAAAUUAUUUUAAUUUUAGAAAAACAAAAUUUGAGAAAAUUUUAUUCCAAGCAUGUUGUCUUUGAUAAAAUUAUGGACCUUGAGGUAAAACCUCUUGAGUCAAUUGAAUCAGAUGCAGGUAAUAAUGAAGACUUGCAGAAGACAACAAAAAAAAAAAGAAUGAUGACAAUCCCUAAGACAAAGAUCUCAACAAAAUAUCAUUACACAACGAAUUUGGAGAUAUAUCAAAAUGGGUAAACAUUAGAAGAGAUCUAUGANUUUUAAAGAUCUCUUAUGAUUGAAUUUUUUUUCAUUUUGUGCCUUUUUGUGCAUUUUUGAAAAUUUAGCCAUAUUUUUGUAUGCUUUAAAAUUCCUAUAUUAUAUGGUUCAAUGUAUGAUUUUUUAUAAAAAAAAAAUCCUUAUCCUAAAAUUAUAUGUUUUAAAUCUCCUAUUCUGUAUGAUUGAAUAAAUAUUUAAAUUUGAAAUAUAUUGGACUCAUAUGCAUACAUGCUUUUAUUAAGGGGGAGUAUUAUCUUAGGGGGAGAACAUGAAACACAACUUUUUAAUUAUGAUCAAAAAGGGGGAGAAAAUAUCUUAAAGCUUAUUGUUAUUCACUAAUGCCCUUGUCUUCCAUGAGUUGUGUUUUUACUCAGAUUAUUACCAAAAACUUUAAUUCAAAGGAGUUUUUGAUCAUCAUCAAAAAGAGGGAAAAUGUUAGCAAAAUGAUGAAGAUGAAGUUUUGAUGAUGCCCAAAUCAAGUCAAAAUUUAUCAAGAUUCAUGAAGAUCCUUUGAAGACUUAUUUUUGUUAUGAAAAGCUUUUGUAAUAAUUAUAGUUUAAUUGUUUAGGACUUAGAUUUGUAGUAGGUUUUGAUUCUUGUAUCUUUAUAUUUUGUAUUUGUUGUUUAGAAUCAAAACUUCCUCGUUUUAAUCAAUUAAUUUUUGAUAUAAUCGAUUAAAAUCGCUGCAGAAGCCAAAACCCAAUCAGCUUUGGAAUAAUCGAUUAAAGCAAGUUUUAAUCGAUUAAUCCUGAGAAUAAUCGAUUAAUACUAGCCGUUGGAGGUUUCUGAUUUGAAAAACUAGUCGUUGUACUUAUUUUAAUCGAUUAACACUAAUAUUAAUCGAUUAAAUGCAUUAAACGGCCAGUUUCGUAGAAUGGAAGAGUAUUUGCUUGAGUCUGUAUAUAGGCUCUCUUUAUCCAUCAACAAUAACUCUUCCCUUGUGCUAAGAACCUCUGAACUCUUUGAGAACUCUGUGAGAUUGUUGAAGCUAAGGAAACUCUUGUCUGCAAAGCUUUGAAGUGCUACUGCGGUGACAGAGGAAUAGCUUAUUCAUCCUUGGUGUGUCCGAGGAAGUGCCUGGAAGAGAAUCAUCCUUCGUGAAGCAUUCGAAGGAGGUGGUCAUCCUUUGUGAAGAUUCAAAGGAGGUGUAAGUUCAUCUCGUGUGGUUUCAAGAGAGGUGGCAUUUCUAAACUCUUACAAAUUGUUUUUCUCUGUGAUUAAUAUUUGUAAUUGUUUUGUCAUAGUGAAAAAGGUUUAUCUUGUUUGAGAUAAGCGACUGGACGUAGGAUCCGUGUGAUCUGAACCAGGAUAAAAUCACCUGUGCAAUUUGUCUCUUUCCCUUACUCUCUUAUUUGUAUUUAAUUAUCU
rnacentral:lncRNA from 1 species